GGGGGUUUCGCCACUUAAAUGAGGCUAAUUGGAUUCCCAGGGCGAACUAGAGAAUGCAGCAGGGCUUACGGUUCUGCCAAGAGAUUAGAGUUUGAUCAUGGCUCAGGACGAACGCUGGCGGCACGCCUAACACAUGCAAGUCGAACGGAGAUAUUUUGGUUUACUGAGAUAUCUUAGUGGCGGACGGGUGAGUAACACGUGAGCAACCUGCCUCUGAGAGAGGGAUAGCUUCUGGAAACGGAUGGUAAUACCUCAUAAUAUAAUUGAAAGGCAUCUUUUGAUUAUCAAAGAUUUAUCACUCAGAGAUGGGCUCGCGUCUGAUUAGAUAGUUGGUGAGGUAACGGCUCACCAAGUCGACGAUCAGUAGCCGGACUGAGAGGUUGAACGGCCACAUUGGGACUGAGACACGGCCCAGACUCCUACGGGAGGCAGCAGUGGGGAAUAUUGCACAAUGGGGGAAACCCUGAUGCAGCGAUGCCGCGUGGAGGAAGAAGGUUUUCGGAUUGUAAACUCCUGUCUUAAAGGACGAUAAUGACGGUACUUUAGGAGGAAGCUCCGGCUAACUACGUGCCAGCAGCCGCGGUAAUACGUAGGGAGCGAGCGUUGUCCGGAAUUACUGGGUGUAAAGGGAGCGUAGGCGGGAUGGCAAGUCAGAUGUGAAAACUAUGGGCUCAACCCAUAGACUGCAUUUGAAACUGUUGUUCUUGAGUGAAGUAGAGGUAAGCGGAAUUCCUGGUGUAGCGGUGAAAUGCGUAGAUAUCAGGAGGAACAUCGGUGGCGAAGGCGGCUUACUGGGCUUAAUCACUGCCGUCGUACGCAA
rnacentral:rRNA from 1 species